AUAUCAGCAGAUACACAACAAAUGCACAGAUUUUAUUGUUAUCUGACUGAAAUUUUCGAACCUGUCUGAUCAACUAAAUGACCAAUCGCCAUGGCACAAAAAUUAUUGAGACAAUAAGUCAGAGCCAACACAUGUCCAAAAAUCAUACAAAACUACCUCAUGUGGCACCUAGUUGUGGCUUGAGUUGGCUCUGUCUUUUUACCAGCUGGGCCUGUGGAAUUACAUGUUGUGACUUUAUUAAUGACUGCAUUUACGCUGAGUAUACAGAUUUCUGUCUAAGCUCUCCAAUGCAUAUUUAAUGCUUGUGGCAACUAAUGAAGACCAUUAAGUACUGGCUGACCCUUCCAAAAUCACCCUGCUUCAUUUUCUGAUACAAAAGGCAGUACUGUCCAUUUCUUACCAAUGGAAAAAUAGGUUGCGCAGAAGGCAAGUGAACUGAAUGUGGCUCUCUUCUUGAAAGCUACAAUAUUUAGCACCUUCCAGCCAUUGUUAGUGGAUAGAAAUUCUGUAUUUGGCUAUUCAUCUUUUCUUAUUCAUCUUAUUCAUCUUUUCUUUCUCUCUUUAUAGUGGCGGGUCAGACAUUGCCACUACCGAACAAUGUUUCCCUGCUGACCAACCCUUUGGAAAUCCAUGAAUAUGCCCACAGUUUCCUUUUUUAUUUAAGCAAAGAUGGAUUUAAUACAUAGCUGUUUGUUUUUUUUUAACUCUGCCUGUAAAGGGUUUUUUAACCAAAGGGAAAAAGGCAAAUUUAGGGCAGUGACACGGGGAGAUUAGUCACGCGCAACAAAUCUCAGUUGCCGCGGGCGACUAAUCUCCCCGCAAUGCCAUCCCACCACUAGAAUGUAAAUCGGUGGUGGGGUGGCAUUCGUGGCGCUGUGAUUUGCCGAGGUUGGUGAGGUUACAUUCUAGCCGGUGGGAUGGCAUGGAGGGGAGAUUAGUCACCUGUGACAAUGCAGAUUUGUCGCGGCGUGACUAAUCUCCCUGUGUGUCACGGACCUUAGACAGCUUUAUGGAUUUGUAUUUAAUUCCCCUCCCUCCAAAAAAGAAAACUUCCUGUCUGAAUUGGACUCUCUCUCUAAGGGCUCUGGCACACGGGGAGAUUUGUUGCCCGCGAUUUUUUUAUAAACGAUUUGGCGACAAGACGCGCGACAAAACACACAAAGAGAUUUCACGCGAGUUGGAGAGGCGAGUUGAGAGACAGGCGAUUUCCUGACGUAAUGGUUAGCCCUCCCAUAUGGGAGGAGUAACUUACAGCGGUCUUACGUCGUAGCGUCAUCACGCUGCGGCUUAACGUAGCAAUUUAAGAAUUGGCGUCUUUACUCCGCGUGCUCAUUUCGCGUCUUCACUCGGCGUCUUUGUUUCACGUCUUCACUCAGCGUCUUCGAACGGUGUAUUCUUGGUAAUAUGGCAUAUGAUAAUGAUAUGGUCAUAUUGAUGGGUCUCAUAUUACUCUAUUUCUAUGUACUACAAAAGGAAAAACAACAGAGGGCUGCUGCUAGAAAAUAUUAGGUACAUCCCAUUACGAAUCAGCGUCCAAGCAAAGGACAGUUUCAUGUACUGUACUGUGAACUACGCAGCUAUCCUGAAAAAUUUGUGACAUAUUUCAGAAUGUCAAUAACAAGCUUUGAUGAGCUUCUGACCAUUUUAAAGCCAGGCCUGUCUCGUGCCCACUCGUUGAUGAGGGAUCCUAUUUCACCAGAUGAAAGACUGUGCCUAACGCUAAGGUUUUUAGCAACGGGGCAGUCAUUUUCUUCCCUGUACUUUCAAUUCCUUAUUGGGUGGACAACUAUUGGGAGAAUUGUGCAUGAAACUUGCCUGCUUAUUUGGUCUGAGCUACAAAGGAUUGUGAUGCCAUCACCUGAUGAAAAUACAUGGCUUGAGAUAGCUGAGGAUUUUUACAAGAAAACCAAUUUUCCUAAUUGUUUGGGUGCCGUGGAAGGAAAGCAUAGUAGAGUCACAAUGCCUUUUAACAAGUGGUUCAAAGUACUUCAACUACAAAAAAUAUUUUUCCGUUGUUCUUCUGGCUGUUGUGGAUGCAAACUAUUGCUUUACCAUUAUUGAUGUGGGAGCUUAUGGAAGCACUGGUGAUGCUAGUGCUUUCCGUAAUUCAGCACUGGGACGCCAGUUAUCAGAAGGGACCCGUCACCUACCAUUGCCAAAACCUUUGCCUGGAACUGCAGCACCUCCAAUGCCUUAUGUUUUUGUGGGAGAUGAGGCCUUUGGUCUUACUGAAAAUGUUAUGCGACCGUACCCAGGGUCACAACGGAGUGUUCCAAAAAGGCUGUUCAAUUACAGAUUGUCAAGGGCACGCUGUAUGGUAGAAUGUGCUUUUGGCAUUCUUUCGAACAAAUGGCGUGUAUUCCAUACAGCACUACAACUGGAACCAGAAUUUGUGGAUAAUAUAAUAAAAGCUUGAUGUGUCCUACAUAAUUUUAUCAGGCUUCGGGAUGGGUAAAUUGGGCUCCUGUUAGAGGUCCUACAGGAGGAAUGUGAGUUAGGGAGCAAUUUGCCAAUUACUUUAUGUCUCCUGAUGGAGCAGUACCAUGGCAGUUGUCCAGAAUUUAGUCCCAUUGAAGUUCAUGUCAUCUUGUAUAAAAAUGUUCAAUAAAGUCUCAUUACAUAAUUAAAACUAUUGUCUGUCAUUUGUAGAAUGUUGUUUCCAAAUUGCAUUCAAAGGCCUCCAGUGGGGGGGGGAGGGGGGUACAAAUAGAUACUGUCACUAUUUUCCUUUUAGGGAGUUUAGGGAUUUAAUGGAACUUCUGUCUAGAUUGAUUUUUAUACCAUGUCUGUCAUUUGUUGUACAGAACAUAGGGCAAGAAAGGCCCAGGAGAGUGACAAAGGAGAGUAAACACAGGUUAUGGAAAUAUAUAUACAUACAUCUAUCUUAUACAUGUAUACGCAUAGGUCUAUAUAUCUAUUUUUAUAUUAACAUUAUCACACAACCAUAUAUGCAUUAUAUGCAUAGAUGUAUGUGUAUAGAUAGUAUAUAUCUCUAUCUAUAUAUGUAUUUACUGUCUAUACAUAGUAUAGACAUAUAUAUAUACUGUCAAUGCACACAUAUGUCUGACAGGCAGGCGUAAUUACGUCAACGUAAUUGCCACUCGUGUAUUGUCGUGGCGUGUUUUUGCACGACGUUGCACGCAUUGACGUUGCACGCAUUGACGUCACACGUUUGCGUGCGCACAGCACGUCACGUGCCCAGUAUCAUUUAGUUAGCUAACUUUCAUCAUGGUGGGCAUUAAUGCACUUUCAGAUCAGGAGGCAUGGGAGUUAGUUGGCUAUCUUAUAAAGCAUAGCUAUGAUAACCUUCCCAUAUGGAUGGUGAAUAAAAGGGCCCGGAAGCAGGCAAUUCUGCAGCAUUUGUGGCGCAGAAUGCUGCGGAAGUUUGGCAGCAGUUACAAUCGCCGCCAAUUACAGCGUCUCUGGUCUGACCUGAAGCGGAGGGAGCCAGAGUUUAUCAUGCAAGUUCAGCUGCAUGAAAAUUGUAAGUGAUCCAUGCAUAAAAUAUUU